AUUGAACGCUGGCGGCAGGCCUAACACAUGCAAGUCGAGCGGAUGAAGGGAGCUUUCUCCUGGAUUCAGCGGCGGACGGGUGAGUAAUGCCUAGGAAUCUGCCUGGUAGUGGGGGAUAACGUCCGGAAACGGGCGCUAAUACCACAUACGUCCUGAUGGAGAAAGUGGGGGAUCUUCGGACCUCACGCUAUCAGAUGAGCCUAGGUCGGAUUAGCUAGUUGGUGGGGUAAAGGCCUACCAAGGCGACGAUCCGUAACUGGUCUGAGAGGAUGAUCAGUCACACUGGAACUGAGACACGGUCCAGACUCCUACGGGAGGCAGCAGUGGGGAAUAUUGGACAAUGGGCGAAAGCCUGAUCCAGCCAUGCCGCGUGUGUGAAGAAGGUCUUCGGAGUGUAAAGCACGUUAAGUUGGGAGGAAGGGCAGUAAGUUAAUACCUUGCUGUUUUGACGUUACCAACAGAAUAAGCACCGGCUAACUUCGUG
rnacentral:rRNA from 1 species